UACGUAAAAGACUAGUGUUAUUCAUCUUUAUUAGGUUUAAAGGGUACCUAGACGGAAAAUUAAGCUAUAAUAAGAACUAAUUUUCUAGAGUUUUAUGUGAGAAGAGGCGAAUUUCUGGAGAAAAGUUGAUAUUUUGUUAUACUGGAAGGACGGGUAACAGCGAAGGCAAUCUUCUAUAUAAAACUGACGUUGAGGGACGAAGCCUUGGGUAACGAUAAGG
rnacentral:rRNA from 1 species